CCACACGAAGAGGCCCGCGCCCCCGAACCGGGGACGCGGGCCUCUUCGCAUGC
rnacentral:pre_miRNA from 1 species